GAUGAACGCUGACAGAAUGCUUAACACAUGCAAGUCGAUUCGAUUUACUUUCGAGUAUUGAGGAUGGCGGACGGGUGAGUAACGCGUAAGGAACUUGCCUCUUGGUCUGGGACAACUGUUGGAAACGACAGCUAAUACCGGAUAUUAUGAGAUUCUCGCAUGGGAAACUUAUGAAAGCUAUAUGCGCCAAGAGAGAGCCUUGCGUUCCAUUAGCUAGUUGGUGGGGUAACGGCCCACCAAGGCGACGAUGGAUAGCCGGCCUGAGAGGGUGAACGGCCACAAGGGGACUGAGACACGGCCCUUACUCUUACGGGAGGCAGCAGUGGGGAAUAUUGGACAAUGGGCCACAAGCCUGAUCCAGCAAUUCUGUGUGCACGAUGAAGGUCUUCGGAUUGUAAAGUGCUUUCAGUUGGGAAGAAGAAAGUGACGGUACCAACAGAAGAAGCGACGGCUAAAUACGUGCCAGCAGCCGCGGUAAUACGUAUGUCGCAAGCGUUAUCCGGAUUUAUUGNGCGUAAAGCGCGUCUAGGCGGAAAAAUAAGUCUGAUGUUAAAAUGCGGGGCUCAACUCCGUAUUGCGUUGGAAACUGUUUUUCUAGAGUACUGGAGAGGUGGGCGGAACUACAAGUGUAGAGGUGAAAUUCGUAGAUAUUUGUAGGAAUGCCGAUGGAGAAGUCAGCUCACUGGACAGAUACUGACGCUAAAGCGCGAAANNNUGGGGAGNAAACAGGAUUAGAUACCCUGGUAGUCCACGCCGUAAACNAUGAUCACUAGGUGU
rnacentral:rRNA from 1 species